rnacentral:lncRNA from 1 species
UGAAGCCACCAAAAAGGCAACUUUAUUCCAGGGAACAAUGUGGUGUAACCGAAUCAGCACUUGAUGCUGCAUACUCAUCAUCGCCUCAUCGGGGACAAAAGCAAGUCCCGCUUUCUUGACAAAGGAAUGGGCAUGAGCAGAACAGCUGGAGCUUUCAGCGCAGCCAAUGAGGAGGUGCCAAUGGUUUCCUUCCCUACUACACUUUCUAUUGCUAAAUGCUUAGCACAGGGUGCUGACGAGGCUGUUGAUGACAAGCUGAUAGUUGCUUUCGUAAAUUGUAAAGUUCCGAUGAGUGAAAAAUCUAGGUUUUGCUAAUAGUAUAAUGAACUCUUAAGUUAGGCCCCGUUUCAAUCUCACGGGAUAAACUUUAGCUUCCUGCUAAACUUUAGCUAUAUGAAUUGAAGUGCUAAAGUUUAGUUUCAAUUACCACCAUUAGCUCUCUUGUUUAGAUUAUAAAUGGCUAAAAGUAGCUAAAAAAAAGCUGCUAAAGUUUAUCUCGCGAGAUUGGAACAGGGCCUUAGUCUAUGACACGUAGUGCAUAACUGACUCUUUUUCCCAUCUCAGGAAAUAGGUUCAUGGAGAGUGGGGACGAAGAAAGUAAAAAAACCACGUGGCUAGUUCAAACCUGAAACCAAACUACCGGUAUACACUUGGUUCCGCUAUGGUACAUGUUUCCCUUUCAUGCAUACUUGUGAAGGAUGUUUUGGAAUCUCAACUAUUCUAGGAAAAUGUGCACAUGGUUAGUUUAUAUGACAAGAU